rnacentral:rRNA from 1 species
UACGGAGGGUGCAAGCGUUAUCCGGAUUCACUGGGUUUAAAGGGCGCGUAGGUGGUGGCUUAAGCGUGCGGUGAAAGCUCGGGGCUCAACCCCGAGUCGGCCGUGCGAACUGGGCUCACUGGAGCAUAGUAGAGGCAGGUGGAAUUCCGGGUGUAGCGGUGGAAUGCGUAGAGAUCCGGAAGAACACCGGUGGCGAAGGCGGCCUGCUGGGCUAUGGCUGACACUGAGGCGCGACAGCGUGGGGAGCAAACAGG